UUUAGAUUUCAGAAUGGAGCUCUGGGAAGUUCUUCUGGCCCCGAGGAUGUCACUGCUGGUGCUGGAGUGUCCAUGGGACAGACUGGUAAGAAGACCUCUCCCGUGUACAGCUUCAGUUUCCCCCGGAGGAAGUUGGCGUAGACCCGGAAGAGCUUGCAGAAAGUAUCCACUGCUCUGCCUGAGUGGCCUUCAUUCAAUCCCUCCGCGCUGCACACCCCACCCCCCAAGCGACCGGCAUCCACUUCUCGGCCAAACUUCACUGUGGGUGCGCGCCAGAGGCUGGCAGAUCCUGGGAAGCAGGGACUCCUGGACGCAGGUAAUUCCUUUAGCAGCCUUUCACUCACAGAGCAGCGCCUCAUCUCCCCAAAA